UACACUGUAGCGCAUAUUUUCAAGAUUUUUCAAGCGAAUUUGCAUCUAGGAGACAGAUCUCGGCGAGUUUUACCUAACUACCAAAAAUUAGGAGAAUCGGUUGAAAACUAAAAGAAUGGCAGCUACUCAAAGUGGCCUGGGGUCAUAUUGACCCCAGAGCACAGACAAAAGGUUAAUAUUAUCUAUUUUUUGCAAUUCGCAAUUAUUAUGAAAUUCAAUAGUGAUCAACACCGUUUUAGUCUCUGUCGGAUGCAACUUGUUGCAAGAAAAUCGGUUAAGAGUUUAUAUGUAUAAAUUUGACUAAUGUUUUAAUGGCAUUUUGUGCACACACACACAUACACACACACGCACACACGGACAGACAGACAUUUGUUCAGCUCAUCGAGCUGAGUCGAAUAGUAUAUAACACUAUGGGUCUCCGGGACUUCUAUCAAAAGUUCGAAUUUGGAGCGAAAUGAUAGCCUUUCGGUACAACUUAGUUGUACGAGAAAGGCAAAGCGAUAUAUUUUUGUAAACAAUGUGAAAUAUUUUUAUAAUGACGAAAAAUAAAAAAAAUUGACCGUUUCGUAAAAGAAGUAUGACUUUUACUGUUUGACAGCUCCACUAUACUGUAAUGCAGAAUUUGUAUUGCAGUUUGUUCGGUAUUUAUUUUACCGUAUACGGCAACAACUAUGUUUUACCGUACCGAACUCUGUCAAAUAAUUUUUUAAUUGCAGUUUGAUCGGUAAAGUUUUACCAAAAUACGGUAGAAUAAUUUAUUUUAACCGAACUUACGAUAAGUUUUAAUGUUUACCGAAGUUUUUCGUCAAAAACUUUACCGAACAGCGAAAUCUAUUUUAAGUGUGUAAGACGAGUUUGUACAAUAAAGUAGUGGAAUUAAAUGGAAUUGUACAAACUCGUCUUAUGACAAGUAAGUAAAAUCUGAUAAGUUCAUUUUAUUUGAUUCUUUUUGAUUUUUUUUUAAAUUCUCGACCCCUUCACCACUGGAAAAGCACAACUUUGAGGCAAGUCAUACAGCAUAAUGUGCAAUAAUGUUUAUUAUGAAUACGAACUUAUUCGGAAAAUCUUCGCUUGUGUGUAAAAAUAGCAUUUUUUUAUAUAAUUGAUUUUUAGACAUAGAUUUAAUUCUACUCACAUAGUUUAUAAAUCUGAAACCCAAGAAUUAUUUCAAAACCUGAAGAAUUUUCUCAGGAUUUUAAAAAGCCUAAAGAAGAAGUUUAAUCAACCAACCAACAAACGAUUUUUCUCGAUGGUAUAUCCAAAGUUUAUGCAGCUUCAAAUGUUUAUUUAUUUGGAAGGUUCAUUUGCCGUGAAGCGUUACGGAGCCGGAAUACAAUUUUUCAUGAUUAUUAUACACUAAUGUUAGUUACAAAUGUUUAAUGGUCAUUAGAAUACAUUUUGGAAAAUUCCGAAGUAUUUAUCGGAGCAGAUGUCGAGAGACCAUUCAUUUUGCUCAUCACGAAAACAUUACGGAUUAUUUCUGUGGGGAUCCCUUACACACUUGGUUUUAUUUCUACACUUUAUCAAUUGAGAUAAGUUAGCCAUUGGCUUUGUGAAUAUAUUUAGAUCCUCGAUCCCCUGUGCCCAUCCUGCUUUCAUUAUUAUAUACCCAAUCAUACUGUGACACAAAACCUCUUCAAUUAAUCGCUGUUGAAAAUCUAAUGACAACUCCGAGAUUCACAGCGAAUCUGGAGUCACGAAGAAGUUCCGAACAGCAGGAUAAAGUUUCAUUUUUUUUCAACAUUUUUUUCUCAUUCCACGACGAUGCUCACGAAACAUAGUCAAAAGUUUCAAAAUAGUUAAAAAUAGUGACUUUUUUCGAGAAAAAGUGACUUAAGUGACUUUUCCGAGAAAAAAGAGACUUUUUAGUGACUGACCCGAAAAAAGUGACCAAGUCACUAAAAAGUGACUCGCUACCAGGCCUCAGGAAUUCUGUAGAGUGCUACAGUUAUCAACGGCAAGGUUUUUGUGUUUGUUCACCAGUUUUGCACUGGUUUGGUAUAAGACUAACUCAGAUGUUCAUAUGCAAAAGGGAAGUCUAAAACACCGUGCCUUAACUUAUCAAGCCUUAACAUCUAAUCCCCUAAUUUCCAAACUAAGGAAGGCAUAAUGCAGCAUUUUUGCUGAGUAUUUUCACUAGGAAUUACCCAGGAUUUCCUAAUGGACAAAUUUAUUUAUUUAUUUUUUAAUUACUGAAGAAAUCCGUGAAGAAUCUUCAUGAGGAAAUCCUGGAGAAAUGCCUGGAGGAAAUCGUAAAUUUGAUUUCUGAAUAAUUUCAUGGAUAAACGUAAGGGGAAAUUUCUCAUGGUAGUCCUAAGGAGAUCAUGGGAAAAAAAUAAUUAGAUAUCCCUGAAGAAGGGGUGAUUCAAAUAUGACGUCCACUACUUUUUGAGAUUUUUAAACCCCCCCUCCCCCUUCUAACACGCUUUUUGGUAUACCAAGUGUACACACUGUCACAAAAUCUUGACCCCCUCCCCCCUCAAACUGUGGACGUCAUUUUUGAACGACCCCGAAGUUGCUGGAGAAUUCUUAGAGCAAUUAUUGAAGUAAUUCUUGAAAGAGUUCAACAUAAUUCCUGGAACAAUUAUCGAGAAUGUCUAAAUAAGUUAUACAAGGUUUUCGAAGGAAUGCUUUAAAAAUUGUGGAGAAAAUGACCAUUUUUUGAAAUUCUGAAGAAAUUCCAGAAACAUUUUUCAAAGUUUUCAGAGUAAUCCUACUUUCCAAAAAAUACUAGAGUUCUCUCUACUCUACGACAGGCUACUGACUGAUACUUUUGCUAGCAGCUACAGCUCUCUUUAUUUCAACAAUAGUUACAUAUACAAUAUGUAACAAUAAUCUACCAUAGAGCAACAAUUUUCUAAGAUCCGUAAAGCCAAAUAUUAAUUUCUUUGAUGUUUACUGCCGUAAGAGCACGAAAAAUAUAAACAUUUAGAAACAAAAAUGCUUCAGGAAAUGUUUGAGGGAUGAUUUUGAUCCACGCCACCGCCACCGAAUUACAGUCCGAAUAAUUUUUGAAUGUCAAUUUUUACUCAGUGAUCUUAUCGAGAGCGUCGCGUUAAAUUUCCGUUUUUCACAGAAAGUGUGCUAGGAUUCGUACGAGAGUUCAGGAUCACAAACCAGAAAUAUGGAAUCUGAACAAAAUGUUGAAAUUAAAAAAACAAUACUUGGUUAAAAUGAUUUCUAGUUGAAUAAUAUUCUAAAAAAUCUUAGUCUAUGCUUCUACUUCUUCUUGCAUUACAAACAGCGUACAUAAUAGUCCUGUCUAAUGAGAGCUGUAAAUAGAUCGCAAUCACAUUCGCAUUUUUAGCGUCCAUUCAGCUACUUCAACCAACUUGAAACAAAAUAAUGUUUUUGAAAAAAGUGGCACCGAAUCUUUUGAAUUCUUCGAUACUUUGUUGCCAAAACUCAACACCCAGGAGCAUUUCCAGUGCGAAAACUGUUAACAGUACUCCAUAAUUGCUCUUCAAAGUGCAUGCACUUAUGUAGUUUCUCAAACAAACGAAAAAAACCCAGAAUAAUCCACCUUGCAGGUUGCCUUUCUUGUGUAUUAUAAAAUUUAACAAGAAAAGCACAUGAGAGAGGUCAAAAUUGCACUUUAGGGAGAUAGAUUCAGUUAUUUUCAUCAAUUCAUAUUUAUUUGCGUUCAUUUGAUUGCAUUGCAGCAGUUUUAAAAAAUCGAUUUUGAUUUUUUUGUCCAAGGAAAAAUGGGGAAAAAACAAUGUUUUUUAAUAACUCCGGAACGCUAUGGCCGAUUGGGCCAAUUUUCAAGAGCGAAAAAUUAGGAAGGAUUCCGCGUCGAAUGCAACCAGUUGCAAGCAAAUCGGAUAAGGCUAAGUACAAAAAGGGUGUCUCACCUUUUUUUGUACACACACACAUACAUACAUACACACAUACAAGCAUCACCUCACUUCGUCGAGCUGAGUCGAUUGGUAUAUAACACUAUGGGUCUCCGAGCCUUCUAUCAAAAGUUCGGUUUUGGAGUGAUCCUAUAACUUUACGUAUAUUAAUAUACGCGAAAGGCAAAAAUGUAUAGGGGAAGGUGGUCGGUUGCUAAUUGAUUGUCGGCACACUUUUUUGUCAAGUGAAAACCCACUCCAAAGUUUUUUUUUGUCAUUUGCUUAGUGCUAUAAACCGUAGUAAAACGAUCGAAAUAGUGAGCGCAUUACGUAUUAACAAAGCAAAUUUACUCUAUUUUGUGAUUCCUAAUUCAAUAAUUUUUCAAUUUAAUUAUGAUUUUAACUUUUCAAAAGGGUUACUUAUUUCGAUUGUCGGCACCCCGGUGAUUAUCAAGGGAAAUCAUCAGUUUAUUGUCUAAUUUCAGGCUAUAAGCCAAGUUGUUAGCAAAACUUGUAAGGACGUGGCCAGGUGUGUUGAGAAAAUCGAGUCUGCCUAAUUGUAGAUUUUAGCGAAAUCUACAAUGACGGUGGAUAUGUUUAUCUCUGCAACUCCAUCUACGAUUUGUGCAAAGGUUGCUAUGCUAUAAGCCAAGUUGUUAGCAAAACUAACAAUUUUUGAAAUCUUUAUGAAAUGUGUAUAAUGUACUUAAAUAUAAUAAAUGUCAUUGCUAUAAAUUAAAGACCAGAUCAUUUAGAAAUUUCAAAUGCGUGUAUUUUUUUGACUUUUUGUUUGAUCGAAAAACUUUCUAAGAACGGAACAGAAGUUAUAUUCUUUUAUUUCAUAUGAAUAACUAAAACGAAUCAUGCAUCGUUAUUUCGAAGAAAUUCUCGCACUUUUCUGUUGAUGUCGCUUGUCAGUCGGCGCACAACUUCUUCAGCCAUGAUUUUGGCUAGCUGAAUCCACCAAUUCUUCAUUCGGCCAAUGUCAGUUGUGACUGCCCCCUUCAUCUUCAGUUUCUGAGUAAUAAUCACCCAAAACUAUCUAUUGUAUGGAAUUGAGGCCAAUUUGAUGGAUUCAGAUUUUUUGGGAUGAACUGGACUCCACUAUUGUAGUGGCAGCUUUCUAAAAAAAAGCUACAAUGGCAGCUUUCUAAAUCUAGCCAAAACGUAAAAGGGCCAUCAUGGGACUGAAUAAAGUGUAAAAUCCGACUUUUGCGAAGAUGGAUUUUGCAAGACUGUGCAGAAUUAUUUAAAGUUUUUUUUUGUAUUUUUUUCCAAAAUACGUAUUUUUGGACGAGGAUUCAGAAUAUAUAAAAAAUCUCAUUUUGGUCAAAAAUGUUACAUACGCAGUUUCUCAAACAAGCGUUUCAAAUGGCAUGUGAUGCUUGUUGAGAAUGAGUUCAACGAUUAUUGGUUCGUUCUCGAAUGUUAAAUCUAGUAGGCAUUUAGGUGGUAGGGUAACCAACUUGAUUUGGACCCCUACACAUUUUGGACCCUCCUGGCGACAUUUUUCUGAUUUCUGAACUCAAAACAAUGCCGCUGCUAAUUCCCCCAUUGGCUUCAGGAAAUUAACAUUGUUCAGCAUCUAUUUCACUGGUUUCCCGUGCGAAAAAAAAAUACUGCAACGAUUAGCAACUGCGUCCUAUUACAGCGGGUUAAUUUUAUUAAAACCAGAAAUUUAUCAUAAUUAUCGUAAUAUUUUUGAAGCUAAGGCUAAAGAACAUUCUAGUCGACUACGUAAGUACGAUUAAGAAUAUACAAUUCUUUGAAAAUAGGGUGAUAAUAGGACCUUUUCACCUCUCUGUACUCCAGGAAUCUUGGCUGUAGUAUUAUUUUUUUUACAGAAAAUCAUUUUACGUAAAGGUUCUUUUUUAUUCGCAUAAAUUACUUCAAUAAGGUAGAAACAUCCGAACAAUAGCUGAAUUCCAAGCUGAUAGUUAUUUACUGUUAAUAGCAAAUUAUUUUAAAAUUAGUGUAAAAAAGAGGAUUUAAAUUAUUUAUUUUAUAAAAACUGGUCUACGUUUUUAACAAGUGACUAACCACCGAACUUCCCUGAGUGUUUAUUUUUUAAUUGUGUUCUGCCGUGUAAUUGUGUUACUUGAAAGAUACAAUUCAAAAACUUGACCUAUUUCCACUAAAACAAAAUGUUCUUAUUCGUUUUUCUUUCUCUGUUUGUUUGUUAAUUCUCUCAUUCACUGAUUGCGUAUACCCACUUUGAUUUGUUCCCACAAAACCAUUAUUUUGUUUUAUCACCUUUG